CUUGACCGCCUGUGGUCAUCAAUGGGCCCUUGCACUUUCCCCGAGCACUAGGGCUCAGAUACUCAAAGGAAUUUAAGCACCAAACGUUCACCAAUUUCAAUGGGAGUUAGACACUUAAAUACCUCUGAGGAUCUGGGCCCAGGUUACUAACCCUGAUUGACUGGCCAAAUUCACAGAUUCAGUCAUAGAUUGUGAGGCCAGCAGGGCCCACUGUGAUCACUACAUCUGAGCUCCUGGCUAGAUGGGCCAUACGACUUCCCUGAAUUAACGCCAGUUUUGAACUAGAGCACAUUGUUUGUACAUCAAGACUGGGUGUUUUUCUAAAAUUCUGGUGGUGGAAAAGCAGCCACCACAACCCUUGGUAAGUUGUUCCCAUGGUUAAUUACCCUUGGCCGAGUACAUCCUGCUUCCCUAAAAUUCUCCCUUGCAGUUUCAAUAGCAAUGGCAAAUUUUUCUUCACUUCCUGUCCUAAGCUGUUGCCACAGCAUCACUGCACCUUGUGAAACAGAGGCUGGGUUCCACCCCAGGGGUGGCUGCAUUCCAGGGGUGGGGGAGGGACUCCUAGGCAUAACCUAUACAACAGUUUGGAAGGCCUUCAAGUGGAAAGGGGCUGGGGAGAUACAAAUCAAUGGGCCUGACUCUGGUCUCACGUACAGUGGCAGAAACCUCGCUGGUGUUACUGCUGAUUUACACUGGUGUAACUGAAAGCAGCACUGGGCUCGUUACCAUGAAAGCAGGCAGUUCUGCAGAGGGAUAGUGAUUGAUCCCAUAUGGGAAACUUGGUGGCUUCCAGCAGUUGUCUCUCCUCUGAAGGAAGAAAACUCCCCUCAGUCCAGUCCUCCACCUGUUACCAGUCCCCGCUGUAGCAGGACACAUGUCCCAAAGAAAGAGAUGAGGCUUUUACCUAGGUGCUCUUUGAGGAUGUCGACCUCCAGGGCUGCUUUCCUGUAUUUCUCCUCCACUUCAUUUUCUGCAGCAAGCGAGUGAAAGAGAGACUGUUAUUGCCGAUCUGACGCAGAGGAUGAGACAAGCUCCAGGAGGUGAGCUGGCGUAUCCCCCCCGCAACUGCAAUGUUUGAAAGCAGUCCAUUGGCCUGUUGGUACAACGCGUCGGAUCGGGGAAUGAAAUGGAAUCUUUACAAGGAAUGAACAUCCCCAGAGCAGAAGGUCAACGUGAGGAAAGUUGCCACCGCUGCUAACUUGCGAGCAAUUUCCACUGUUGCCAUGGAAUAGUUGAAUUUCCAAGCGGAGGCAGGAGAAAGGAAGGUGCUGCUCUGAGUCAUUUUUCCAGAACAUUCCAAAAGUGGACUUUACAAAGACAGAAGAGAUCCACAUCCCCAGAAAGGACACAAUUUAAUGUAAGCAAGUACUAGGAUGUAAAUAAAUUAUUUAUUCAAACUAAGUUGCAAAAACUGCAUUGCCCAGUUUGCAGUA